CCCUAUUUGAGUCGCAAGGCCUUCCUUCAUUCCACCUAGCAGGCUGCUUGGAAAAGGGCAGAGACUCAUUACUUUGCACCAGGAGCUGGGAGUACCAUAUGGGGUCAACGGAGUCCCUGGCCUCAUGAAGUUUGAGAUCUGGUGGAGAAGGAAAACAUUCAUGGGAGAAUCAGACAAAAUUAAGUUUUCAAUUAGUAAAAAUCUUCUGAGAGGUA